CACAAGCGGUGGAGCAUGUGGUUAAUUCGAAGCAACGCGAAGAACCUUACCACCUUUGACAUGUACGGAAUCCUUUAGAGAUAGAGGAGUGCUCGAAAGAGAGCCGUAACACAGGUGCUGCAUGGCUGUCGUCAGCUCGUGUCGUGAGAUGUUGGGUUAAGUCCCGCAACGAGCGCAACCCUUGUCAUUAGUUGCUACAUUCAGUUGGGCACUCUAAUGAGACUGCCGGUGACAAACCGGAGGAAGGUGGGGAUGACGUCAAGUCCUCAUGGCCCUUAUAGGUGGGGCUACACACGUCAUACAAUGGAUGGUACAAAGGGUCGCCAACCCGCGAGGGGGAGCCAAUCCCAUAAAGCCAUUCGUAGUCCGGAUCGCAGUCUGCAACUCGACUGCGUGAAGUCGGAAUCGCUAGUAAUCGUGGAUCAGAAUGUCACGGUGAAUACGUUCCCGGGUCUU
rnacentral:rRNA from 1 species